UUUUAUUUCAAGUCGAACCGUUUGGUAUGAAGCGUCCAGCUGCCUGGUUGGCUGGUUGUCUGGUUGGCCGCUAGCUGACUUCGAGCAGGUUGGCAGCGUUUGUCAGUUAACAAACGAGUCUCGACGCGCGCGGUUCACGCAACGCUCGCUCAAACUUGGCCCAAACUGAGCCUGACAGCUUGACAACAGCCAAUUUGCUGGCCAUUUGGCUUUUCACUGUUGGUUAAAACAAUUUUUUAAAAUUAUGUAAAAAAUAAAAACAAAUUGUUUAGUGGUUAGCAACAAAAGCAUCUGUAUCUUUGAUAAAUUGCAUCUGUGCUGCAGUAUAUAAAUAUAUAUUUUAUGGGCUUUAUGCUUAGAUCAAGUGUACGCUGUAAGUGCAGUGCGGAGUGAAGUGCGGAGUGCGGAGCGCGCUCUAAAUCGUUUAUAGAACGUGCAAAGCGUUAACAGUUAAACAAAUUCACUUGGCAUAGGCCGCAAACAACAUGAAUUUUCAGCUGUUCAGCAUGCUAAUGGAGUUGUAGAAAAGAGAAAACUGUCGCUAUUCAUAUACCAUAUUAAGAGAACUUUUGGCAGGCAGCGCAAAAAGGACGCAGCUGAAGACAGGAAUCAGAAUCAAGCCAAUUGAAACUGU